UUUUUUUGCGUUGUCCAAAUAUUAUUAAAUGAUUCUUACUCUAAGACAAACAAUGUAAAUUCGUAUAUUCAUUUUCUUAAUAUAGCUAGUAACUCAAUUAUUUUUCUUUGGUUAAAGAUAGUGUACUGAUGUAUCGUCGACGUAGCCACACACACCAUGCAUGAGACAAAUAGUUCUGGCAAUCAUGAUAGCGAUGCCGCAAUCUCUCUUUUACCUUUCUUGUAAUGAGAUAUAUUGUAUAGUAUAUACACUUACUGAUGGGUUUUUUUUUGCUUUCUUUUCAAAAUAUAAAUAUAGGGUCUUUUAAAAUGAAAUACAAACUAUUUUAUUGGAUCUGUUAAAUAGUACGUAGGGUAUCUUUGUCGUUUGUGUACAUUAUGAUGUUUUGAAGUGAAGGGGUCAUUUUUCCCACAAAACUAAAGAUGGUAGUUUAGUCCGCAUAAUUUCUUAUUGUUUGAUAGUAUGAUUUUCUAUGCUACGUUUAAUUUAUGUUUUUUGUUUUGUUUUGGAGUAAUUAAGAGCUAAAAUUAGAAGAACCAGAUUUGUCUUCGAGAUUGAAUUGUAUGCAAUUAUGGGAGGCAAUAGCGGACCCAGG
rnacentral:lncRNA from 1 species